rnacentral:rRNA from 1 species
ACGCACGCUGGCGGCGUGCUUAACCCAUGCCAGUCGAACGGAAAGGCCCUGCUUUUGUGGGGUGCUCGAGUGGCGAACGGGUGAGUAACACGUGAGUAACCUGCCCUUGACUUUGGGAUAACUUCAGGAAACUGGGCUAAUACCGGAUAGGAGCUCCUGCUGCAUGGUGGGGGUUGGAAAGUUUCGGCGGUUGGGGAUGGACUCGCGGCUUAUCAGCUUGUUGGUGGGGUAGUGGCUUACCAAGGCUUUGACGGGUAGCCGGCCUGAGAGGGUGACCGGCCACAUUGGGACUGAGAUACGGCCCAGACUCCUACGGGAGGCAGCAGUGGGGAAUAUUGCACAAUGGGCGGAAGCCUGAUGCAGCAACGCCGCGUGCGGGAUGACGGCCUUCGGGUUGUAAACCGCUUUCGCCUGUGACGAAGCGUGAGUGACGGUAAUGGGUAAAGAAGCACCGGCUAACUACGUG